rnacentral:misc_RNA from 1 species
AAGAGAACGGGUGAAAACCCAACCUCCAACCCUUUGUUGUAAACCACUAGUUGCCUUGCCUUAUGUCAGCUGAUUGGGUGUGGGGAAACCCGUACUUCUCUCAUGUUGGCCUCUAGGGCAAUGGACCUUUAAACUCGAAUAUCAGUGUAGUCUGAGAAAAAAUUCAAUGAAUUA